rnacentral:rRNA from 1 species
ACGCACGCUGGCGGCGUGCUUCACCCAUGCCAGUCGCACGGAAAGGCCCUGCUUUUGUGGGGUGCUCGAGUGGCGAACGGGUGAGUAACACGUGAGUAACCUGCCCUUGACUUUGGGAUAACUUCAAGAAACUGGGGCUAAUACCGGAUAGGAGCUCCUGCUGCAUGGUGGGGGUUGGAAAGUUUCGGCGGUUGGGGAUGGACUCGCGGCUUAUCAGCUUGUUGGUGGGGUAGUGGCUUACCAAGGCUUUGACGGGUAGCCGGCCUGAGAGGGUGACCGGCCACAUUGGGACUGAGAUACGGCCCAGACUCCUACGGGAGGCAGCAGUGGGGAAUAUUGCACAAUGGGCGGAAGCCUGAUGCAGCAACGCCGCGUGCGGGAUGACGGCCUUCGGGUUGUAAACCGCUUUCGCCUGUGACGAAGCGUGAGUGACGGUAAUGGGUAAAGAAGCACCGGCUAACUACGUG